rnacentral:lncRNA from 1 species
UAAGAAUACAGAAAUGUUGAGGAUUUCAACAGGAAGGGCCAUGAAAUGGUUUCUCUUGGGAGCAAAUUCAUCAAAUUUACAUGAAACUAGGGACAACUGUAUAUAUUUAUAAUGAUGGUAGGCUUUAGAAGUCCAGAGAAUUUUUAAAGAAAGAAGCAGGAAUCUGUGAUAUUUUAUAGAUUUGUAUGGCAGUGUGUAUGAAAGUACAAAUUUACUAGAAAAAACAAUAAAAGUAAUAUUUUUUCACAUACAUUUUUUUGUUUACUUUUCUGAAUGGACAUUUAUUUGCCACUUUGAUUAUUGUAAUAGAGGGCCAAACAACGUUGGCUUAAGUGAGGCUACAGUCCCUUCCCUUUCCUACUCUUUCCCUGAUGGCCCAAACAUAAACAGCAUCAUACAAUGAGGCAUCACUGCCGUGUUUUCCCUCUAAAUUUCUUCAUUUUUUAGUCUGGGUUGAGUCUUCCCAUGGACUCCUUCUUGUGUACUCAGAUGAUUCCCGAUAUCCACCUCCCUUAGCUGCAUUUCAUUCAUCAGGAAGAAAGAAGGUAGUCAGAGUCACGUGCUUUAAAGCAUGACCCCAAAUUGUACAACGCCCAUCCACUCAAAGAACAAGUUGCAAGGGAAGCUGGGAAAUGUGGUUUUUAGCUGGACAAGAAAAUGGAUAUUAAAUAACAAUUUAUGUUCCUAGAACAGACCUAAUAAGGAUAGAGAAUAUAUUCCCCAGUACUGAGGACUCAAAAGAUUCUCAAGGACUAGAAAAUAUUUAUGAUUUAAAAAUUAUUGUUUAUAACAUAUAAAACUCAUUAACUCUAACAAAUCCCUAAUAAGGUCUCUGUGGUUUGUGUUAUAUUCCAUUAAAAAGCCACUUCUUUUGAAAACAAUACUGACAUUACACUUCUUUCCUUUGUUGAGAUCAUAGAUUCUUUGCUUACAACGUAGCCAUACAGCCAUACAUAUAUUGAACAUAAACUACUUAGCUGAACACUUUCAAAGGUAAAUUAAAAACUAUUUUUAGGUUCUGUGGUGAACUCGGUUCAGUGAAAUUCAUUUUGGUUCCUUCUAUAGGCAUACACUUAAAAGGUUACAAAUUAGGUGACUGGAUAACCUCUAACUAAUCUUUGAAUUUUUGUUGUAUGAAUACAUUGUGUUAAAUAAUUCCUAUGCUCUAUUUUCUCUCAAAUUUUUCCUGUGCUCCAUCAAACCCUCCCUCCUUGAAUUCAUGAUCCCUUUUCGACAAUUAAUUUCAUACAUACCUAUAUGUACAUAGAUUAAAAGGCUCUGAAUAAAUUAUUUUUGAAUUGUCAUAGUGGGGCAACUGACAUGUAAAAGCAAAAGCUGUUUUAUCCACCUGAAUUUUCCCAAUAUCAGGAUUUUUAGGGCAUAGCAGUGACUGUGAAGAGAAAAACAGGGAACAGCACAUAUCUCUAAUUGUAGAACCUCAGAUAAAUCCAUUUUAAUAAAAAGAUUUACGAACAUCAGGACAUUGUGUCUUUCUGUGCAUUGUGUGCACAGAACAGUCACAGAGAAAGCGACAAGAUCUGCAGGAUUGUAGGGGAUGCUUCUGAAGCAAUGAGAAUCUUAGUGAAGAUGCUGGAAGGCACAAGGGUUGCAGCUGUUGAGAGACCUGUUAGAAGCUGUUAGUCUGCUCCUCACUACAGCAUAAGAAACCUUGAAAUCUACUUAGGAAUUUACAACUGCCUGUAGUCAAGGUGACACUGGCCUUCCCACAUAAAAUUAGAAGAAAUAAGCCUAUUUUUUCAUGCUAUUCUAGUAGAUUUUGGAAUAUGAUAAGUCAAGAAGUGGCUGUUGGAAUUCAGAAGCACGACACAUAAAAUUUAAAAUGUAAUUUUGAGAACAAAAUAAUGCUUUUCAAGUUGGAUAAUCUAACUUCUUUAUUUUCCAGAGGUUAAUGUGUUCUAACAUCACUGAUUGUCCGUUCUGCACCUGUGCUAUCAGUAGAAAGGAGUAUAUAGCAUACCUGGGAGUAUUUUAUCAUACUAGCUGGUGUUUCUAAGAAGCAUGCACUCUAUGAAUCUUUUCUUCAAAUAUCGCACUGCUACUUUGUAAUAGAGACAGUGCCAUUGUUACAGAUGGUUCACACCUAUGUACACAAAGAAAAAAACAUAUACAAGAGCAAAUUGAGAUUCUUUAAAUAAGACCACACUUGUAUAUCUGUGUGCAGUAGCAAUCAUGCACAGAGCCUUCCUUGGAUCUCUGAAGCUGUUAUGGAGCUGUCUAAGGAGUUCUCUGAGAUGAUGCUGAACUGGGUCCUGGUGUAUUACAGGAUCGGUUAGCUCAAGCUUCUACAAUUUGUAUAUCUUGAGUCAUGGUUGCUCACGGUGUAUGACUUUACUAUAUUUUAUGAGUAUAAUCUUUUGCAUCAUGUUCUAUUGUUUCAGAAACAUUUAUGCUCUAAAUUUGCACCUGACAGAGUGAUUAUUGGUUUUCAAUGCUCUUCUAUUAAAAAAAAAAAUCAACCAAAA